rnacentral:lncRNA from 1 species
GCCAAUAGUUCAUCUACAUUACGUUUAAAAUUUAGGAACAUUUUCGUCAAAAAAAUAAAAUUUAGAUACAUUUAUAUAUUCAUCGAAACAUGUGAAGUGGUAAUUACGUAUUUUAGAUUUAAUGUGGGACUUUUCAAUAAUUUUGAUUCGUCUAAGCAUAUUAAUUUGUGAUGGUGAGAUGUAAAAAAUAUAGUGUACUUAUAUGUGUUUGUAUCUUUUUUCUAUAUUGAAAUAUCUUAAUAGAGGGUUCUAAAACAUGCGAAAAUCCCAUAUGUUUUUGUAGAAUUGGAAAUCUGCUUAGUAUAUAAUUAUACUAAUAUCAAAUCCGUACGUGUACGAGGCAUCCAUAAGUAGGGGCGAAAAUUGAUGGAACGAAUACUUUUUUGUACGUCCGUCUGAUUGAUAGCUUUUUGUUCACGAAGUUUUGUUUAUAAACAAUGUAAUGGCGUACAAUUAUGAACAUAUGCCUAGAUGAUGAGCCGCCCUUCUACGGAUUUGCUAGAUCUUAGUCGGGUGAGAAAUAAAUUUUCUUAGUCGAUGAGAUUUGCAUAGGUUUGCUUUGUACGUUACGUGGGCUAGUUGCGUGCAUGUGUUGAUGCUGGGCUGGCACAUCUUGCUUUGUUCUAUAGGCUGAUUUUUUUUUAUAUUUGGCUUUUUUUAUUUGUUAUGUUGUGUGGGCUCAUCUAAGGGUUGUAUAAUAUUUUUUCAUUGUGGCGGACAUAUUUAAACUUUAGGUUGCAAGAAGAUUCCAUUUAUUUUUUGUUAUACAAAUAGGGUUUUUCUAAUUCUAAAUCGACUGAAAAAUUCUUACAAGUAUAUCUUUGUUUAUUUUUAAUUUCUAAUUUGCAGUCAAAUGUAGUUUUUUGUGCUAUUUUUCAAGCUGCGACUUAGUUUUAGUAAUUAUUAGUGUAUUUUCAUGUCACACCAGUGGCACCCGGGGUACCGCCGCCGAUGACGCGUGGGCCACCUCGCCUGCUCACCGGAAGGAUCGCACCCCGGGCAGCACCGCACAAGCUGCCCGGCAAGUCACCAGCCCGGUAGGGCUAG